rnacentral:rRNA from 1 species
GACGUAGGAGGCGAGCGUUGUCCGGAUUCAUUGGGCGUAAAGAGCGCGCAGGCGGCUUGGUAAGUCGGAUGUGAAAUCCCGAGGCUCAACCUCGGGUCUGCAUCCGAUACUGCCCGGCUAGAGGUAGGUAGGGGAGAUCGGAAUUCCUGGUGUAGCGGUGAAAUGCGUAGAUAUCAGGAGGAACACCGGUGGUGUAGACGGCUUACUGGACCACGACUGACACUGAGGCACGAAAGCGUGGGUAGCAAACAGG